AUGAUGGACUAUAGGACAGGACUGUUGCUUUUAACUCUCUGCUGGGCAGGUGUUGAUGGUCAGACUCUGACAGAAUCUGAACCAACAGUUAAAAAGCCUGGAGAAUCCCACAAACUGACCUGCACAACAUCUGGAUUCACAUUCAGCAGCUAUGCUAUGGCCUGGAUCAGACAGGCUCCCGGAAAAGGACUGGAGUGGAUUGCUUAUAUCAACAGUGGUGGUGGUAGCAAAUACUAUUCUCAGUCAGUCCAAGGCCGGUUCACCAUCUCCAGAGACAACAGCAGAAAGCAGCUGUAUCUGCAGAUGAACAGUCUGAAGACUGACGAUUCUGCUGUUUAUUAUUGUGCUCGA